UCAAACUACGCUGGACAGUUUGUCUGCACGGUUACUUUUAUUCAAUCUCAGAAUCAAACUAUCACCUUCCGAGGCAUUACAAUUAACAUUCGACCGGAUAAAACUAAAAACAAAUUAAUAAUCUACUUUCAUCAUCAAUACAUCUCUUUGCUAUCAUUUUUUUUUACUAAUCUUACAAACUAAAAACGAAAAACGAAAGCAAAAACAAAUAUGACCACCAUCAUCAUCGUAUAAAACCCGGGAUACAAAGACGACUUCUGAUCAUCACAGAGGAUUACCGAAUUGACGAGCAGCAGCUUACAGCGGCAGCGAGCAGCAGCACCUGCGGCGGUGGUUUUCGAUUUGAGGAUGCACCAGCGGCAGUUUCGAUCGCAAGCAGUACCAGCAGCUUCCGGCAGCGCGAUCAGUGGCAGCAACCCGCGUUCAGUGGAAAGAUCGUGACUGCGAUGGAUGUCGUUUACGCUCUCAAGAGGCAGGGCACAGCUCUUUAUGGAUUUUGGGGGUUAAUUGUUUUAGGUUCUGGAAUUGAAUGUUAAUAGAUCUUGACUCUAGAUCUAGAUCUGGUAGUUGGUGUUCUUGGUAGUUUGUUAUUAGGCUGGUGUUUUGUAAUUCUAUCAAGUUGUAUCCGUGUGUGUUUUGUUUGUGUGUGUUAAGUGCGCGCGCGUUUAGUUCGUGUGUGUGAAGACAUUUUGCAUUAGUGUUUGUUGGUGGGGGGGUUUUUAUGUAAAUUUAUUUGUUAUUAAAAUGUAAUUACAAUAUUAGCCUUUUAUGCUGCGUUUACUUGUGGAUUGGAGUAAGAAUCCUGAGGAGUGGGAAUCCUUGGAUUAGGAGUGUGGAGUGGGAGUGGGAGUAUGGUGUUUACUUAGACUAAAUGAAAGUAUGGAUUGUCAAUUAGAAUCCCAAUUAUUUGUUUACUUUGUCUUGGAUUGGGAGUAAAUUAUUUUAAAUUACAAUUUUAUCGUUAUGUACAGAAUUAUAAUUUGUAAUUAAAAAAUUAAUAAAAAAUAUAUUUGGAAAAUAAAAUAAAUAUUUUAUUAUAUUUAUAAAUUAAUAAUAAUUACUAAUAUUCUUAAUUAUGUAAAUCAUAAUUUUUUAUUAAUUUUAAUUUAAAUUAUGUGAAUAAAAAUUAUUAAUAAUAGCAACACAAAUGAAAUAUUAUUAUUGAUAAUAUAGUACAAAAUUAAUAUUUUUUNNNNNNNNNNNNNNNNNNNNNNNNNNNNNNNNNNNNNNNNNNNNNNNNNNNNNNNNNNNNNNNNNNNNNNNNNNNNNNNNNNNNNNNNNNNNUUAUUUAUUUAUUUUAAUUUUAUAAGGAUAAAAUGGGAAGAGGGGGGAGUGGAUUCCCACUCCCACCUCCCCCAAUGGGAGUGGGAAUCCCACUCCUCACUCCAAAUUUGGGUGGAACCCACGGAUUCCCACUCCCACUCCCCUUUUUUUAAGGUAAGUAAACACUAGAGUGGGAGGAAUCCACACUCCACACUCCCACUCCAGAAAGUAAACACUACCUUAAUGAUUUAAAAAAGUUAUUUCCGUUAAUAAACGAGCGUGUGAAUGGUUUUAUGUCCCUUUCAAUUUUUUUUUUCCCCUCAUACGUCAUAUGUACGGCAUGCAACUUGCACCACUCAUUACCAGUAUACACUGUCUUAAUUUUACUUUUUAGAAGACUUAUCGAAGACUUUGGUAUGCGCCAAAUUUGCAGAAUCUCGGGGAUCAGGACUCACAAGUCACAACUCACAAGUAGAAAUAUUUGCAGAAAAAGUAAGCAGUUUCAGAAACUACAAUGUUUCCAUUUUCUCAGUUGUUGAAGCUUAAAAAGAGGUUCAUAACUUGGGUACGAUAUUACGUCUGUUUUUGUAAGGCUGCUGCAUUUAUGUCAGGUAAUUUUGCUUGAUGUGGCAUUAAUGUAUUUAUGUAGUUAAGAUGGUGUACUUAAUAUCUUUGAUUAAGUUGGGCUAAAUAAUAAAAACAUGGCAACAGUUCUUAUGUUGUUCUUGUAGUUUUCAUGUGUAUGCUUUUUUCAGUGAGCACGAACAUUUCUUCUAAUGAUUAUAUUUUGAGUCCAGGUUUGUUGAUAAGCCGCAAACUGGUAGACUUGGCUGUAGUGGGCGUCUUGAUAACUUACUUCUCCGACUCCAAAUAUUCAGAACUAUUCACACUUCAGAAAGCUGCUAUAUUUACGAGUAUUCAGGAUGGAAUAUUAGCAACUCUUGCGGUUGUUGCCGCCUGGAUUUCGUGUUAUGCCAUCCGUCCUCUCACAAUCCUCAUAUUUUCAACUGUCUCCUACAUCCUUGUGAGUAAAUAUGUUUUAAAUUUGCUAAGCUUCCAAACAGAGACAAAAUUAAAACAUAUGUCUAUCAUCUGCAAGAAAUACAUAUCCAGGGGUGGACCCUGGAUUUUGUAGUACUUUAGGAUAAAUUUAGAAAUUAUUAUUUUGCAGCAUAUGUUAAAUUUCACAGAAUGUAGAGAAAAAUAUACAUAAUAAGAGGAUAUCAGGAGCCUUACCCCUAUGAAAAGAAUGCUAAAGAUCCCAAUAGUUAAGCUAUAAUUGAUGUGGCAUGUAUUCAUUUUGGCUGCACUCCUGAUUAUAAUAAUGAUUAAAAAAAGCAUUUUUAGGAUCAUAACGUUAAACUGUACAAUUAGUUCCAACAAUUUUUGUUGCAGGCACUGGGGCUAUUGUUCUAUACAGCGUCCAGAGAUCUUUCAGAAACCAACUUGAUAGGAAUUAUCCUGUUAGCAGUGGCUGAAGUUGGAGUGGCACCUCUUCUGGGACCAUUUCUUGCCGAUCAAUUAAGAGAACAUGGUGAAGGAGGGAGCACAGAAAAUACAAAUGAGAAUCAAGUAAUGGCUCAGAAAAGAGUGUGGUGGCGGUUUGCCUGGUGCUGUGGUGUGGCUGCGGCAUUCUAUGCAAAUAAUAUUAAAACAUGGGGGAAGACUUUCAUGUUCACAUUGUUGUUUAUGGGGGGCAGUUUGAUCCUGCUGUUGUUGGGUAUUCCCUUUUAUCAUAGUAGACAAAUACCUCCUGUUGACCGUUUUGCUAUAAUCCAAGUUGUUAAAACUUCCCUGAAGAAAAAGCAUCUCAAUUAUCCUCUUUCUCCGGAGCAGUUCUUCAGUAAUGAUGAGGGAAACGUACUACGCUUGUCACCCAGAAUCAAAUUACUCAGGUAUACACCUAACAUGUAUACACCCACAGCCGGCCGUGGUCUGGCAAAAAUUGUCGGAGAGACCCUCUUAUUUUUAGUAAUAAUUGCAUAGACCUCUUUAUGGACACACUGAUAUCCUUUUGUGUUUACAAAUGGUCACACUGACCUCUAAGAUUUGUCCAAAAGGGUGUAUUUAUAAAAGAAUCUGUGUGAUCAUUUUACCGAACCAUGAGCUGCUGCAUUCUAUUUUCCCUAAAAAAUUAGGAAUAAAUUAAUUGUUUGAAUUGCAGAUGGAUAGACAAAGCGGCAAUUAUAGAGCCAUCAAGUACUUCUAAAGAACAAGAAGAGGCUGGCACACUUCGCACUGUGGCCCAGGUCAGGGAGUCAAAAUAUCUUUUUAAAUUGUUGCCAUUGUGGUCUAGCUUCAUUGUGUUUGGAUUGGUUCUGUCAGCGGGAAAUACAUUUUUUCCUGAGCAGGGAGCCAAAAUGAUUUCUGCACGUUAUUUAAUCUUUCUACUUACUUUUGAAGCCAUAAUUCAUGCGACGAUCUCUUAUCUGUCGAAAAAAUUAAUUUCCAAGUUUGUUCCGGAAACGAAGCAGAGACAAGCUCAAGUAUUGAGAACAUUCAUUGGAAUGGUGAUGUCUACAGUUUGCUGUGUAGUGUCAUGGCAGGUUGAGGUUCGCAGGUUGGAAAAGAGCAAACAAUGGGAAAAUAUGAGUGCUGUGAAAAGACCAUCCAAACAAUGGGAAAAGACCAUCCAAGGUUUUGGCUUGUUCCACAAUUCUGUCUAUUGGGUCUUAUGGAAGGGCUUGCUUUGCAUGGAUGUGAUGAAUACGCGAGCUCUCAUUUUCCUGAACGGAUGGAGUACCAUGUAUCAGUAAUAAGUUCUUUUUUCGUCGGAAUUGGAAGCAUUUUUAACAUCUUUUUCAUUUUGGCAAACAAAGGCGACUUGGCUAAAACCUUGGAUGGUAGUAGGCUUGAUAAGUACUAUAAGAGUUUAACAGUUAUUAGUGCUGUGAACGUGUGCUACAAUUUGCUCUUGUCGAUUCUCUACAUAGUAAGCGAUCAGAAAGUAGAUAAUGAGGGACUACAGACAAACAAUUAAUACUACAGACGCCGUUGCCGUCUAAAUCAUCUUAUUUAGCUGCCUGGUUAUAAAAUUGGAGCUCAGAUAUAGAGAGGCUGCUGAACAUGAAUUUUAUUUUCAAGCGACAGUUUCACUUUAUACUGUAGCUGAAAGCCUAAAGCUGCUGUGACCAGAAAGCAUUGCUUGUACGCAUCAGAUCCCAUGUAUGUAGUUUAGUAUUAUAAGGCUUAAUUUAAGUGAUUAUCGAUCUUAUAUAUGCUAGUACUCUUCUCAUUAAUAAGGGAAGUAUUACAACUUUGACAUUGUUUUGAUAUAUAACAUUUCUAUAGUUAUGUCCUUGCCAAAUUUUCUAUUUUAAUUUUUAUAGUAUUCUUUUUCUUGACUGAGCAGGGAAGGUGCCAAAUUAAAAAUCGAAAUGGCCAAAUUUAUUAAAGUUAAAUAUAUACCACUAUUAUUAACAUGAUAAAACAGGUUUAUUUUACCAUUAUUUUUGUUAACAUUAGGUUAACAUUUAGUCUCUUUAUCAUUUUUUUUAAUAAUUAUUUCACCAUUAAAGCUUUCUUUUCAUUUAAGAUCUAGCUUUUAAGCAACACUGUAAAUCCAUAAUAGUAUGUCCAAACGGAGAAGGUGAAACGUUAACUAUAAAGCAGCAAUAUGCUGUAGCUCGGAGAAGGUGAAACGUUAACUAUAAAGCAGCAAUAUGCUGUAGCUAAUUGAAAUUUUGUCCACAUAAAACAAAGCCACAGCCCAGUCUAUUAUUGUGCUGUGCUACCCACUGGUUGGUGGUCCCCGGAAUUGACUGUUAUUGAUAAUUUAUAAUUAAUUUAAUCAUGAUAAAUAAUGCAGAAUCAAAUUUACAAAUUUCCAUAUCAUCGUGGUGACGUUAUAUGUCAACAUGUUGCACGUGGCAAGCCAGCAAUCAUAUAAAUGGUAUCUCCCAAAAGCAAUCAUCAGCAAGUUAGCACAUGUACUUCAUAAUUCACCGAGUAAUAGAUAAUUCACCAAGCAAUGGGAAGCAUUACUUGUGACAGAGUUAGCGAGUUGAAAGCUUUUGAUGACACGAAAGCUGGCGUUAAGGGACUCGUAGAUGCUGGGAUCACAACCAUUCCACAGAUCUUCAUUCAAGACCAUCACACUAAAUAUAAGUUUGAUGAUAAGCCAAUCUGCAGGGACCCCAAAAUCAGCAUCCCAAUCAUAAACCUUCAAAGAAUACACAAGGAUUCAAGCUUGCGUUCUCAGGUAAUUGACCAAAUUAGAAGUGCUUGUGAGGAGUGGGGUUUCUUUCAAGUGAUCAAUCAUGGAAUCCCAACAAGCAUUUUGGAUCAAGCCGUUGAUGGGAUCCGUAGGUUUUUUGAACAAGAUGUUGAGGUUAAGCAGAAAUAUUAUUCUCGUGAUUACUCCAAAAAAAUUAAAUAUUGUUCAAAUUUAAAUUUGUAUAGUGCACCAACCCUCUUUUGGAAAGAUACUUUGAGUUGUGUUGUGGGUCGCGAUUUUUCAAAUCCUGAAGAUUUGCCUGAAGCUUGCAGUUAUGUGGACGAUGACCAAUAGAUUUUAUUUCUUUUACAGUGGAUAACACCUGCCUCUUUCUUAGAACUUUUUGCAUCACUUGGGUUCCUAAUAAGUUUUUAUUACUCUCAUUUCAUCUAGAUGUUAACCCAAUAAAGAAACAAUUUCUAAAAGUCGAAAUGUCAUUCUCCCUUUCUUUUAGUAGUGAUUAGUUUUUGUCUUUAUUAAUUUGCAGGGAGAUAAUGAUCACAUACAACAACCUAAUGUGGAAAACAGGGGACACUCUGUUUGAACUUUUAUCGGAAGCUUUAGGGCUUGACCCCAAUUACCUGAAAGACAUAGGUUGUGUAGAGGAAAUGACUAUUGGGAAUAGUUACUACCCUGAAUGCCCUCAACCAGAAUUGUCCAUCGGCAUAGCAACACAUUCUGACCCUGGAUUUGUCACUGUGCUCAUACAAGAUCAAAUUGGUGGCCUCCAAGUCUUUCACGAAGAUCAGUGGUUUGACAUUGCCCCUGUUCCGGGAGCUCUAGUUGUAAACUUAGGCUACAUGAUGCAGGCAAGUGUGUGUUAGAUAACUUAUUAAGAAAUACUAUCCAUCGAAUUGAAAAUUCUCUGGUGCGACAUUCGCACUAAAUCUUGUGCGGACACACACUUUCACAAUACUGUGAAAGAAUCGUCCUCACAAAAUUUCAUGUGAUCGUCUACACCUGAGCAUGAAUCUCUAUCAGAUAACUUAAUUAUCGUUUAUAUGAAGUGUGUGUUUAUGCAGCUGAUUACCAACAUGCUUGUGUUCAUGCAGCUGAUUACCAACGAUAAGUUCAAGAGUGCCUAUCAUAGAGUGUUCUCAAAUAAGGAAGGCUCCAGAAUUUCAAUCGGAAGUUUUUUCAUGAAUAAUAGUUGCUCGAGACGAUAUGGUCCAAUUAAAGAGUUGCUAUCAGAAGUAAAUCCUCCGCUCUAUCCUGAAAUUACUCUAAAAGACAUUUACAAUAACCAAUCCUUGAAGAAUAAUGAACUCUCAGCAUUGGAUAAGCUUAAGCUGGCAAGUCACAGUGGUUAAUUAAUUACUUGGCGGUAUUUUCCAAUUUUGUGGCUUGCAGAAAAAAUUAGUACUGAUGAUCAUUGUUUGUUGCUUGGAAUUGUGUCGUUCGUACUUGUAUUCAGCCUCGAGUGUGCAAGUGUUGCUUGCUAUGCUUUUUCCACUUUUGUGUACUAUUAAGAACAAAUCCAAGUGCAUUCGGAUUGAUCGUUAGGAUGAUGUUAAAUAUUAUACAUAGAUACAUGUUUUGACCGGAUUUCCUCUAGGAUCUGAUUUGAAUCAUUUUCCUCACUAGAUCUAGGUCAAAGACAAUUUAAAUAAAUAAAUUUAUAUUUGAGGUGAGAUUGGGCUGGUACAAAUCUAAGUGUGUUUUUCUACUGUUAGAAACAAAAGAAAUAACUGAGGUGAUCUGGAAGAUGAAUUGAGGUAAGCUUGGUAUUCUGCUGUUGCCUGUUGGGAGGUAAGCUUUGUGGAGCUCAUGGGAUUUAGUUUAAAGAGUUGAUUUGCGGAGGUCAAGAGAGUUUAGGGAGUAGUUCUAGCGAAUUUAAGGAUAGCUUUAACUAGAGAGCUUAUUUAGGGAACUCAAUAGAGCUUGUGGUAUGCCUCUAGUGAGCUCAUAUAUGAAAUACGAUCUGAACAUUAUCAUCAUCCUAAUAAAUAGAAAAUAAGUAUAAACAAUAAAGAACACACAAGAUUUUAGGUGGUUGGCCCUUUGAUCUACAUCCAUAAGAGUAACUCAUAUCCAAUCCACUAUAUAAAUGAAGUAUUACAUAAUUUGCAUUAUAAUAUCGACAAAAUCUUAUUAAAGAUUGUUUAUGAGGAAUAAUGACAUGGGGGAGAUAUGAGUCUCAUAGAGAUUAGAGAGUUUUCCAAGAGAAGAGUAAGGGAAGAGGUUUCUUUGGGAGAUGAGAUGGUUAAGAUUUUCCAUGGUGGUGUUAAAAUGGAGAAAGAAACCCUAAAAAUAGAGGAUGAAGAAGAUGAAGAAGUCUCUCAAGAAAUUAGAUCUAGAAAAAAGUCUCUAAAGUUCUAUUGGCUCGUUAUUCUUAGCAAAAUAUAACCCUAAAAAUAAUGACACACUGUUCACAUACUGGGUCUAACCAUUAAAAUUUAAGUUUCGAUAAUACCCCUUAAUGUUAGACAUAUUACCGAAACUAUCUUUUUUCAUAGGGAGCUUAUCUUCUAACUUUUGAGAGCUAUAUUACCAUUCGUUCAAUCGAGUUGACUUAACUGAUUUUUUUUUGCCACAUGUCAUUAAGUCAUUAGUACAUCUUAGCAUUCAAACUUCCUUCCAAACACUACAUAACCGCUAGUAGUCCAUUAAUAAUUAACGAAAUACAUGCAAUAAUUCAUAAAUAUAAAGUCAAGUCCCUUUUAUUACUCAAAUCCAUAUGAAAGUACCCAGCAAUCCAUAUGAGCUAAAAGACUUGGACCUAAAUACCCUUGUCAAGCAUCCUUAUACCAAAGGUUAACCACUACAUCGAAUGACAGAGGGUAAAUGAACAACAAAACUAGGGGUGGGCAAAAAAACCGUAGUCUUAAAAAAACCGAACCGAACCGACGGUUUUUUCUAAUUUGGUACGGUUUUUUUUAUUUAAAAAAACCGAACGGUACAAUUUAUAAAAAAACCGAAAUGUCGGUUCGGUAUUCGGUUCAUUUAACUGAACCGAAAAACCGAACCGAAAAACCAAAUUAUUUUUAAAUUUUAUUAAAUUAAAUAUGUGUUAAUUUUUAACCGAUUGUGUAAGAUAGCUAACAUAAACUUGCAUACACACAAUCAGAGUAUAUAUAUAUGUUAGUGUUACAAUUUCGUAAAUUUUUAUUUCCCAAAAUAAACCCUAAAAUCAAAUAUAAAAAAAUUUCGUAAAUUUCGUAAAUUUCAAUUUCUUGAAGAAUUUUUUAGGCUAAUGCAAUCUUAAGAACAACAGCAAGUAGCUGAGGAGUAAAUGAUAGUUGAUUGAUGUUGCUUACCAGUAAGUUUUCUUUAUUUUUUUUUAAACUAGCAUCUUAUUAUAUAGAUUGUUUAUUUAAUUAUUUAUUAAUAGUUAGUAAGAUAUUAUUGAUAAAAUGUGUUUUGAAUACUUUGUAUUUAUUGUUAAUAUUUGUAAUGAAAUUAGGAUGAACUUGUUGAAAAAAAUUAUUACAUUUAUGAAGCCCAAUGGGCUAAAAAUUUGAAAAUUCAAAAUAGGCCCAGAACCGAAAAAACCGAACCGAACCGAACCGAACCGAAAAGAACCGUUUGAGUUCGGUUCUUUUUGAGUUUGGUUCUUAUUCGGUUCUUUUUAUAAAAUAACCGAUUUAAAUCGGUUCUACUUAAUUUCGAACCGAACCGAACCGAACCGAACCGUGCCCACCCCUAAACAAAACCCCAAUGCUGUUUUGGUAAAUCAAUUCCUUUCUCCCUCAUAUUUCAAAAGCCAUCAAAAUUUUCCCUGCCAUUAAAAAAAUUCUAAUAAACUUUCAACUUCUUAAUAAUAAAAAUUUUUCCAGUGGUAAAUUAGUAAAAGACACAAAAAGUUGAAAGUUAACAGAAUUUUUUGAACAACAAUGGAGAUUUUGAUAGGUUUUAAAACAUAAAAGAAGAAAUGAUUAAUUUUGACAUACAAUGGAGGACUGAUCAUUUUCUCUAAUAACAAAUAAACAUGAAAAUAAUGAACUUAUAAACGCAUUAGCUAGAGUUCUGAAGCAAACCCUGUCUUCGGCAAAUUUAAUCCAGAAAUGAGCCAGAGCUCUAUCAUAAGGAUCACUUGGCAUCAAGGAGGGAUUGUGUGGCCACAUCUCUUCAAUGUAUUCAAGGAUAACAAUGGACUCGCAAACGGAUUUUUCGUCAUGAACAAGCACUGGGACCUUCUUGUGAACUGGAUUAUACUUCAAAAGCAAAGCACUUUUGUUAGAGAGAUCUUCUUCAAUGUAAUCAUAUGCUAUGCCUUUCAAUUUCAGAGCCCAUAUCACUCUGUAACAAAAUGCACUCGCCCAUGCCCCAUGAAGCUUCACUUCAGCCAUGUUUCUGAAUAUUGAAGUUGAAUACCAGUGUGGUUGUUCGAAUAGCUAACUAUACAUAUGUAUCCGAAUUUAUGGAGAUCAAUGGAGCAUGUGCUUGCAAUGACUUUAAGAUCUGCAAUAAUAGCUAAAAAUUGUCAAUAUAACAGCUUAAAAGAGAAACAAUGAUCCAUACAAGACAACCGCAACAGGUAGGUUACUGAUAUCAUUAAUAGAAUAAUACAAAAAAUUUAAUUUUUCAAUAAUCAAAAAAUCAGUUUCUCAACUUAUAAUAUGUGGCUGUCGUUAAUAGGAUUAACGUCCCCAAGUUAUUGAAAGAAUUUUGAGGUAACAGGGAGGAUAUGAAAUAGAUAAUUAUAGUUGCACUUGCCUUCACUUAGAAACUCGACGCCCUUUAGUAAGGCAUGUUCUCGAAACUAGAUUAACUCAAUCUAUAAAAACACCUAUGCAGAUUGGCAAAACUGGAAGUGAAAAAUGAAGGAAAUCAAGAAAUGAGCUUACCUGCCAAUUAGGCUGCGAAAUUGAUACAUGCCAUUAUAGUUGGGGUUCUUAAUGAGCCAAGUGAACCAAUCACCCCUUGCCCAAACAUCAUUCCCUCUCAUACUCACUCUCUAGCACUUUUUUCUUCUAAUUAGUAGUCUGAAAGAACUUAUCAAAUAAAAGUUUAGACACAGAACCUCGAUACACCAAUAAAUAAAUAAAUCAAAGAAAUAAAAGUUAAAAAAGCCUUCACUUUGGACAAAUUAACAACAAUAAGACUCACAUUAAGCAAAAAAUGUUAUGAUAUCUCUGUAGAUGAAUGAAGCCAUUCAAAGUACAUGUGCCUCAGCAAACAAUUACUUGAAAACAUACGAGUGCAUAAAGUUCAAUGUCUAAUCUCCUCUAUUUAACCACCCAAAGCAAAACCUUCUAUAACAGAAUAAAUACAAGAGCAAACCAUUAUACAUACUCACUUAGGAAUUUCGUCGAGCACUUAGCCUGAACAGUUCAUAACGAACGUAGCAAAGAAUAAAAAUGUAGUCAAACAGUUAGGGAACGUAAAAAACAAACCCAGAGUUUCGGGUCUUCAGAGGGUUCAUAAAAAACACAGUGAACUUGAGCUUAUCUCGUUGGCUCGUUGCCGGUCCAACACCUGGCUUUUGUCGUCUUUCUCAUUUUGUAAAUUGCUAAACGACUUUAAGAUCUGCAAUAAUAGCUAAAAAUUGUCAAUAUAACAGCUUAAAAGAGAAACAAUGAUCCAUACAAGACAACCGCAACAGGUAGGUUACUGAUAUCAUUAAUAGAAUAAUACAAAAAAUUUAAUUUUUCAAUAAUCAAAAAAUCAGUUUUCUCGACUUAUAAUAUGUGGCUGUCGUUAAUAGGAUUAACGUCCCCAAGUUAUUGAAAGAAUUUUGAGGUAACAGGGAGGAUAUGAAAUAGAUAAUUAUAGUUGCACUUGCCUUCACUUAGAAACUCGACGCCCUUUAGUAAGGCAUGUUCUCGAAACUAGAUUAACUCAAUCUAUAAAAAUACCUAUGCAGAUUGGCAAAACUUAUAAUAGCGCAGAAUGAGGACAUGACAACUUGUCAAAUUGCAUGGCAAAAAAUGUGUUGAUCCAAACUCAGAUAUUAAGAAAUAGUACAUUCCACGAUCAGGUUUGAGAAUAUAUUUUUUAAUUAAAGUUAUUAAGGAUUUUCAUAUAACAAAUACAAUCUUCUCACAUGUGAUAUACUAUCCAUAUGCACUUGAAGCAAAUCACUACUGAUUUUACUUUUAUUUAAAUUACCUGCUACCUGAAAACAGUAAAAUGGAAGUGAAAAAUGAAGGAAAUCAAGAAAUGAGCUUACCUGCCAAUUAGGCUGCGAAAUUGAUACAUGCCAUUAUAGUUGGGGUUCUUAAUGAGCCAAGUGAACCAAUCACCCCUUGCCCAAACAUCAUUCCCUCUCAUACUCACUCUCUAGCACUUUUUUCUUCUAAUUAGUAGUCUGAAAGAACUUAUCAAAUAAAAGUUUAGACACAGAACCUCGAUACACCAAUAAAUAAAUAAAUCAAAGAAAUAAAAGUUAAAAAAGCCUUCACUUUGGACAAAUUAACAACAAAAGUUAUGAUAUCUCUGAAGAUGAAUGAAGCAAUUCAAAGUACAUGUCCCUGAACAACCAAUUACGUGAAAACAUACAAGUGCAUAAAGUUCAAUGUCUAGUCUCUUCUAUUUAACCACCCAAAGCAAAACCUUCUAUAACAGAAUAAAUACAAGAGCAAACCAUUAUACAUACUCACUUAGGAAUUUCGUCGAGCACUUAGCCUGAACAGUUCAUAACGAACGUAGCAAAGAAUAAAAAUGUAGUCAAACAGUUAGGGAACGUAAAAAACAAACCCAGAGUUUCGGGUCUUCAGAGGGUUCAUAAAAAACACAGUGAACUUGAGCUUAUCUCGUUGGCUCGUUGCCGGUCCAACACCUGGCUUUUGUCGUCUUUCUCAUUUUGUAAAUUGCUAAACGACGUAGGUUUAGGUUUGACUACUAUUACACAUAUAUUUUAUAAUUUUAUCGGCGACAAUGUUUCACUGGGGGUCAUAAUGUAGAAUUUAAUUUCUUGAAAGUCAGCCAUAACGUAGAAUCAGUGAACUUGAGGCGUAUCCAGGAAUCUGUUGUACAAAAUUAUUAACUAUUUAGGAAAACUUUUAGAAACCUCCCCUGAGGUUUGGCUUUGAUACACUUAGAGAGAAUGUAUCCAUAUAUUGACAAUAUACCCCCCGGCCAUGUAUGAAGGUUAGGCACCCGUUAGGUAGUUGAGUGAAUAUACAAUAAUGCCCUUCAGUACACAUUUCAAUGAAUGCCAAAAUUAUUGGACACGGUAGAUGAUCUUUAUAUUUGGGGCGAAAUUGUUUUUGGCCGCGGGGUUGGAGGGGGGGGGGUUUGUAGAGCAGUGAAAAGGCCAUUAUACUCUUAUGAUAAUUGCUGUUGACAUUACAUAUUCUUAUAAUAAGACAAAACUCAAAUGAGUGUUGAAAAGACCAAAAUGCCCCUUAAAACAAAUAAUUUGAUAGUGUAAAAUCACAUAAUAAGAUAAAUAAAUGAUAAUAUUUUAAAUUAAUUUAUAUAAAAACAAUACUGAAUAUCAUAAGAUUAGUAAAUGCUACAAAAAAAAAUAAAUGAUAAUAUUUUAAAUUCAUUCGAUUUUCAAACAAGAUUUGUAAAUGCUACAAAAGAGCUGCUAUGAAGGUAGCGGAAUCAGAUGACAACCCAAACAAGCUAUGUUAUUGCUGUAUGGAUAGCAAAAAUGGUUGUGGCUAUUUCAAGUUUUGGAUGCCAUCCUCAAAUGAUAUCGAUCGAGGCGUUAUAUUUGCUGGUUUAGGAACAUGUCAAGCAAAUUAUGAACUGCUGAUGAGUAUGCAAAAGGAUAUGAUGGAUUUGAAGUCACUGAUGCAAAAAGCACAACAAAAUGGAGUAAAAUGCAAUUAUAUAAAGACAAUGUUGUUCCUCAGCAUGUUUUUUCUCAUUUGUGUUGCUGUAGCUUCAACAAUGAGUGUAGUUAUGGCUGCUAAGUAGGCAUUAUACAAUAAAUGCAUGUAUUAGUACCUAAAGUAGCUAAAUGAACAUGUACUACCAUAAACUCAUCUUGAUAUCUCAAAAUCAUCAGAUCAUUAAACAACAUAUAAUGAUAACAGAAUCACAAUAGAGGUUUACAAGGAUAGCAAUUGGUACAUUCAAAUGGCCUUUUUGCAAAUGUCAUCUCUUUGGCAUUCAUUAUACGAAAGCAUCAGAAGUACUACUUUGAUAAACAAAUGAAGUCUUGUGUUUAUGUAAUUAAAUCUGUUAAUCUGUGUAUUAAAAUGGAUGUCCCAAAAGACACUUUCUCAACUGUACUGGUUCUUCAAUAAACCAACUGCCUACAAGCUCUAUAAUUAAUUUAUCUCUUACACCUUAAUGAGAACCUCAAAAAACAAUAGGCAAGCAUCCGAAUUUUAUGUUGGGAAGUACAAAUUUUUAUGUGAAGAAAGGAAAAAAAAAAAAUAGCAUCCAUUUACCAACAGAAAUCAGUGAUUGGAAUCAGUCUAUACAAAACAUCAAAAAGCAACAAGAGCAACUGUCUCAAUCUUACAUGAACUGCCCACUUGUAAAAUAAAAAAAGAAACAAAACAACACCAUAAGCAUUUUCUCAGCAACACCUCUGUAUUCUUAGAAGAAGCUUGGAUUUUUCUCAAUUUAAAGAACAUAUCAAGCAAAUUUCAGUGAGCAUUCAAAACCCACAGUCCAAAAUCAUCAAAAAAUAAAUCAUUUGCAUGGUUUACACAACAUUUCGAAUGACUAUCAACUCAAAAAUCAUUUCAGAUAUAUUCGGUCACUACUUCAAUUUCUAUAAACCCUAAACAUUUUUCUCAAUUAAUGGGAACAAAGAAUAAAGCACCUAACUAACAGCAAUUUUCAACAAAAUGCAAGAAAAUAAUAAAACCUAACUUCAGUUUUAAGCUUUGAUAGAAUUACGCACCUAGUGUGCCCUUUAAUCACCGGCUUUUCAGCUGCUGGUCGUCGUCGAAAUUUGGUUCAAAACAUAGUUGAUUUCAGAAACUUGUUAGCUUACUGCAUCACAAAGUAUCUCUGCUUUUGCUAAAAUCAGUUGGUGUCACGACCUUCGAAAUGAAGGUAAGCACUCAUCAAGUGAGAAAAAAAAAAAAAAAAUGAAGCUAGGUAUUGACAAUGAAAAUGGGUUACCAUCCCCUCGGGUUUCACUAGCUGAUUAGUUACAGUAUAAUAGCUUUUGUAAGAUUUUUUAAAAAAAAAUACUGCAACUACUUAAUCAGUGCCUAACCCUUAUAUACACGGACAAGGGGUAUAUUAUCCAUUAGAUAAUAAUGUUAUAAAUUUUUGUAUAAAUUUAUUUUGUAUAAAUUGAUGUGAUAUGAUGAAAUUACUUGAAUUAAAUAUCUCUGGACCCACAUGAUAUAUUUUUAUUAUUUUACAUUUUUAUUCAACCAAUGAAUUAAUGACAAAUAAAUUUAUACAAGAUAAAUUUGUAUAAAAAUUUAUGGUUGUAUCAUCACUCUUGUCAAUAGAUAGAUACAUUCUCUCUAAAAAUGAUCUAAAAGUGAAGCAAAGCCAAACUUUAGGGGAAGUAUCUAAAAAUUAUCCUAACUAUUAAUUGAAGGGUGUGAAUAUUUCCACCCCACUAUUUUUAUAAACCCCCUCCACCUCCAUAAAAUAAUUACAAUAAAUUUACAUUAUUUUAUAAAAUUACAAAUUAAUAAAAGCUUUGAAUAAUUAAUUAAUUAAAUCAAUUUUAUAAUUUUAUUUUUAUUUUUAUUUUUUGGACUUAAGCUUUUAACAAUCUUUAACUUUUGAAGGUUGCCUCAAGAUAAAUUUAAUUUGACUAUUUUACCCUUAUAAUAUAAAAUAACCAAAUUACUAUAUAUAUAUAUAUAUAUAUAUAUUUAUCGUAACUAAUUGCUUAGGUUUUUAUAUAAAAUUUAAUUAUUUUCAUUCCACCACAUGUCCUAAUUAUAUUUUGUUAGUUUAGUGGAGAAAUAAUAAUUGUACUAACAAUUACUUAUAUAUCAUUAAAAUAUUAAAAAAAAUUGCAUAAAAUUUUAUUAAAGUUAAAGUGAAUUUUUAGAUAUUUUGGUACUUUUACCUUAUAAGGGUAAAAUAGUCAUAUUAAUUUAUGUUAAAGCAACCUUAUUGAUGAAAUUUAAUAAAGAAACAUAAUUAAAAAAAAAAGAAAUGAAUAUAGAUUUAAUUGAUUAAUUUUUUAAUUUCUUCUUAAUUUAAAUUUUAAAAAAAUGAUGUGAACUUAUUAUAAUAAUUUUUUUUAAAAAAAAUGGGUGGGUUUAUAAAAUUUAUGGGGUGGAAAUAUCAUCACCGAAAAUCUUAUAGUUGCUGAUUUAAUAUAUUUCACAUUGAGAGCUAGGCUUGUUUAUAUAUAUGGAUAAUCAAUUAAUUAUUUCUGUUUUUUGAUCAUUUAAGUGAUAUUAUUUUUUGAGAAAGUCAUGCGUGCUCUUCGAGCAUUAUGUAAUUAUGUUAUUAUGCUGGCACGAUCGAUGCUCCACUUGAUGAAAAUUUUUGGGUUUUACUAAAAAUAAAAAUUAGAAAACCUCUACAGAAUUAUAUAUAUUAUCUGCAGCAAUCCCAAUUUGAACUGGAACAUCAAACUUCUUCAAUUUAACUGAAUCCCUCCAAAAUGGAAGAUAUCAGGAUCAAGCUAUAUAUGAUCUCAGAUGAAACCAAAUUCUAAAUGCCAUUGAAUCAGAAGCAAAGCCCAAAUGCUGUGGACAAUGCUAUGCCUCCGAAAACCAUGCAACAGAAAUACUGUAUAACAGAUCCUUUCACUUUUAUACAUAAAACUAACUCUUGCUUUUUCUUUUCCUUUUUUUUCCUCACUUUUGACCUCGUAUGAUGAUUACAGAUAUUGUUGCUCAAGAUUAAGCUUGAUUAAUUUUUAGAAUUUCCAAGCUGUGAUAUAAAUUAAUUAAAAGAAUAAAAAACACUUGGUAUAUAUGAUAUAAAUGUAAAUCAAACCUCACUCGAAAGCUAAUGUGACAGAAAUACUUUACUUAUGUGCUUUAUUUGAGUGUUUAAAAGUUUUGGCUUUGCUUAUUGAAAAUUUUCCUGGUUUAUUUUUCAAGUUUUUUGGCAGCAAAGUGGCAGCAGAUUAACAGACAACAACAAUUCAUGCACAUGCACUUGCUUCAGGUAAAAAGACAACAAUGUCUGUAUCUUAUCCUCCUGAAGAAGUACUGAAAGAAAGAUAUGCGUCGCAUUAUUUGUGAAUUAUGGUCCAAAAUCAGUAUACAAAUCUUUAUAUAUUCCAAUGCCUCAAUGAAAGAGGCGUUGUUUGCAUUAAAAAUGAACAAAAAUUUAAAAAAAAAAUUAAUGGCAUCCACCUAGAUUACUAAAUAUAUGGGGUUGUCAAAUUGUGUAUUACCUAUAGGCCACAGGCCACCUUACACUUUGGUGUAGGGUUUAGAAUCACAAUUCAACUUUGCUGGAGUGACAUGGAAAAGAUUUAAGAAUUUUCUUUUUUCUUUUAAUAUUUUCCUUAUCUUUCAGAUGCUGAAAGUUUCAAUACAAAGAAAAUUAUCUCUACAAUCACUGGAAAAGGUUUCAAUAAUAACAUUCAAACAUUUUCUCUUGCUUAAUUUUAUCUCUAUUCAUUUUUGCGGCAUCAUCUAUCUUAUAAUUCAUUCAUACUGGAAAUGCUAAGUCACCUGAUGCUCCAAUCCUAAGAAGCUGUUAUUUUUUUAUUUUUUCUCUAGAAACAGAGUUUUAUGAAAUGCCAUGCUCCGUAGAUCAGAUUGGGGAACCUUCUUGGCCAUCGAUUGACAUAUGAUCAGCUCAUUUUCUCAAGCAAUGAUUAUCUCUUUCAACUGGAAAAUGUAUAUAUCAGCUCAUUGAUUGACUCUGCUCACUCACAUACUAUUCUAUUAUCUUCUAAAGAUCUUCCCUUUGAUAAUCUUUUCCUUGCUUUACUUGCCUGCAACAUGAGAAACCCCUUAGAAACACAGAACUUGUAACAAUUAACAAACUAGAAAAUGGUUAUAAUUCUUGCAAAAAAGCAAAUUUUCAAAUGAGUUUGCAUGUCUGUUAUUGAAUAUCAUUUUCUCAAUGGCAAACUUUUCAAAUGAGUUUGCAUUUGUGUUAUUGAAUAUCAUUUUCUCAAUGACCAAAACCAGUUCUGCAUAAGAUGAUAAUGCUAACCAUUUCAGAUCAAGCUGAGUGAUUUUAAUCUUGAACUUUCAGUCAAAAGGUAUCAAUUGGUUGGAGUACAAAAGGAAAGUUGGCAUGUCUAUGCUGUUGUAAAGUGACUACACACCAUAAGAUGAAAAAUGGUUCCAAAAAGUAUUACAUGGGUCAAAAAUUUUUACUUAAAGAUCACCCGUGGCGAGAUCAAAAAAUGCAAUUUGACGGAAAGAAAGAUAAGAGAGAUGCACCAAUGCAUUAAAUAUGUGAAGAAGUCUUAAUGUUUGAGACCUAUAACAUUUGGAAAGGCUAGAAAAAAAAACAAGUUGUUGCUGGUUUUGGGAAAAAGCAUAAUUGGAAGAAACAUAUUAUUUUUUUUAGUUGCCAUUUUGGAAAACAUUGUUGCUGCUUCAUUGCUUAGAUAUUAUGCAUAUUGAGAAAAAUGUGUUUGACAAAGUGCUUGGCACUAUUCUGCCCAUUGAAGGAAAAACUAAAGACUCUUUAAAUGCUUAUUUGUAUUUUAAAGAGAUGAAAAUAAGAGCAAAACUUCACCCAAAAGAGGUUGUUGGAUAGACAGUGCUACCCACUACAUGUUAUAGUGUUAAAACUGAGCAAAAGACAAAUGUAUUAGAGUGAUUGUCAAAUUUAAAAGUUCCAGAUGGCUAUUGUGCUAAUUUCUCACAAUGUGUUAAUGUGAAAGAUGGUCACAUUUCAGGCAUGAAGGCACAUGAUUGUCAUGUAUUUUUAGAGGGUUACUACCACUGGCAGUUUAUAAUAUUUUGCCUAAACAAGUAUCUGAUCUAUUGAUUAAGAUUAAAAGGAAAUACUCAGCUCAUUAGUUUUAUUCCAACUCGUGGGAGUUAAAUAGUGCAGACUUCUAAUCUAGGAUUACAAAAUAUUCUAGUCUAUCGUGUAUAGCUAGUAACGUAUACAAAUAGAACUAAAAUAUACAGAGAAUAGGAAUUAUAGGAGAUGGAUUACAAUGAUUUCGUAACACUCCCCCUCAAGUUGGUGCAUAUAUAUCGCACAUGCCCAACUUGUUGAGACACUUAUUAAAGGCUUGGAUGGAUACCGCCUUGGCUAGCACAUCCGCAAGUUGAUCUUCCGACCGGACAUGAGGAAUCUCGAUGAUUUUUGCUUCCAGCUUUUCCUUGAUGAAGUGUCUAUCAACUUCAACAUGCUUAGUUCGAUCAUGUUGAACUGGAUUAUGUGCAAUAUCACAGACUGCUUUAUUAUCACAAUAUAACUUAAUGGGACUGACUUGUUGAAUAUAUAAAUCUUGCAUUAAAUUCUUGAUCCAUAGUAAUUCACAUAUUCCUUUGGCCAUCCCUCUGUAUUCAGCCUCAGUACUCGAUCUAGCUACAACAUCUUGUUUCUUGCUUCGCCAUGUAACUAGAUUUCCACCCACAAAUGUGAAAUAACCAGAUGUAGAACGCCUGUCAUCAAUUGAUCCAGCCCAAUCAGCAUCCGUAUACCCUUUAAUAUCCAAGUUAUCGCCUUUUGUAAACACAAUACCCUUUCCAGGAGAUGAUUUUAAGUACAGUAAAAUGCGUAUAACAACAUUCAUAUGUUCUUCCUUUGGAGAAUGCAUGAAUUGGCUGACCACACUUAAUGCAUACGCUAAGUCUGGUCGGGUGUGCCCAAGAUACAUUAGUCGGCCUACUAAUCUCUGAUAUCGUUCCUUGUUAGCUGGAACUUGAUUUGGAUCUGUGCUUAGCUUCAAAUUUUCUUCCAUAGGAGUGCUAAUUGGACUGCAAGCGGACAUCCCAGUUUCAUUUAAUAAAUCUAAGGCAUAUUUUCGCUGAGAUAAGAAAAUGCCUUUCUUUGAUCUUGACACUUCAAUUCCUAGGAAAUACUUCAGCGAACCCAAAUCUUUCAUCUCAAAUUCUUGAGCAAGAUGAUCUUGUAGUGCAGCCUUUUCUUCCGGGUCAUUUCCUAUUACUAUCAUAUCAUCAACAUAUACGAUAAGAACAAUGAUUUUUUCUCUAUUAUAUUUCAAGAAGAGGGUAUGAUCUGAAUUACUUUGUUGAUAUCCAAAAACCUUCAUAGAGCUAGUAAAUCUUCCAAACCAUGCUCUAGGAGAUUGUUUUAGGCCAUACAGAGAUUUUCGCAAUUUGCAAACCUGUUUACUUCCUUCAGCUUGCAUUUUACAUCCUGGCGGCAAUUCCAUAUAUACUUCUUCUUGGAGGUCUCCAUGCAAAAAUGCAUUUUUUACAUCAAAUUGGUGCAGUGGCCAGUCAAGAUUCACGGCUAGAGAUAAUAGAACACGAACAGUGUUGAUUUUUGCAACUGGAGCAAAUGUUUCCAUGUAAUCGACCCUAUAAGUUUGAGUAUACCCUUUGGCGACAAGCCUGGCCUUAAACCUUUCAACAAUUCCAUCAGCUUUGUAUUUAAUAGUGAAGACCCAUCUACAUCCUACAGGUGUCUUUCCUUCGGGUAAAUCAACAACCUCCCAUGUAGAAUUCUUUUGGAGAGAGUUCAUUUCUUCAUUCAUUGCUUCCUUCCACUUAGGAUCUUUCAAAGCCUCCUGCACACUGUUAGGAAUAGAUAGUACAGAUAAUUGAUUCACAAAAGAUUCACAUUCCUUUGACAACCUAUGAUAAGACACGAAAUUACUCAUAGGAUAUUUAGUUUUAGAGCUAAGAGUAGGUUCAUAAUUUAGUCGAGGUAUUCCUCUAGUAACUCGAUCAGGCAACACUUUUAAAUGGGGCUGAGGCUCAAAGUGUACCUGAGUUUCAGAGAUUGAUUCGGGUUGGAGAGACAAUUGGUUAAAUGGUACAGAUUGAGGAGAGGAAGUCGUUACUUCGUGUGGAGAGGAAGUCGUUACUUCGGGUGAUGUAGAGGCUGGCGUUACUACUUCCAUUGGAUUUUCACCAUCUAAAGUGUGAUCAGCUACUCCAUUUUGAGUUUCCCAAUUCUCCCGAUAGCUAUUGCUUGUAAAAUCUUCUAAAAAAUCUGGAGUCUGCAAUUCAACUCUAUUCUCCCCUUGAAAUGAAGUCUCAGGGAUAGAAUAAUACAUUUCAUCCUCAUGAAAUGUAACAUCAAGUGUAGUAUACGUCUUACGAGAUGGAGGGUGAUAACAUCUAUAGCCUUUUUGAUACAAACCAUAGCCGACAAAUACACACCGAACAGCUCGAGGUUCUAGUUUAUUUCUCAAGGAUUUGUGAAGAUGUACAAAGGCUACACACCCAAAUACUCUAGGUUGCUGAUUCGGCAUGGUGGGAACACUUAUAGUCUCAUGAAGUACAUGGAGAGGAGUAUGAAAUUGUAAUGAACUUGACGGAACACGAUUAAUGAGGUAGGCUGCAACUGUAACAACUUCACCCCAAUAACUCUUAGGCAUGUGGGCACCAAAUAAUGAUGCACGUACGACUUCAAGAAGAUGACGAUUCUUGCGCUCCGCAAGCCCAUUUUGUUGAGGAGAAUACGAGCAAGUUGUCUGAUGAGCAAUGCCAUGUAAAGUGAGGUACUGUUUCAAAUCGUGAUUAACAAAUUCUCCACUAUUAUCAGUGCGGAGAACCUAUAUGUGAGAUUGAUAUUGAGUUGCUAUCAUCUUGUGAAAAUUCUGGAACAAAGAACUAACUUCAUUUUUUGACUUCAUCAAACAAACCCAAGUCAUACGUGUGUGAUCAUCAAUAAAGGAAACAAACCAGCGUGCACCAUUUAAAGAGGAAACAUUUGCAGGACCCCAUACAUCUGAAUGAACAAUCAUAAAAGGUGCUGGACUUUUAUUCAUACUAGGUGGAAAAGAGACACGGUGACUCUUAGCCAUUUCACAAAUAUCACACUUAAAAUUUGAAUUAGCCAAAUGGGAGAACAACUUUGGAAAUAAUUUUUUUAAAUAUCCAAAAUAAGCAUGGCCUAAUCGCCUAUGCCACAACCAAAUUUCAGAACUUUGUGCUUUGCCCGAUCUUUCAGUUGUGAAUGCUUGAGAUAAUUGAUCUGAACUUGCUGUAGUCAAAUCAAGAUAAUAGAGCUUCCCCUUUCUAGUACCAUAACCAAUUGUCCUCCGAGUUCGGAUGUCCUUAAAAACACAAAGGUUAGGCCAAAAAAUCACAAUACAAUGCAAAACACGUGUUAUUUGAGCAACAAAUAAUAGGUUAUAGUUAAGAGAGGGAACAACAAGAACUGAUUCCAAAUUCAAAUUUUUUGUAAGAGUAAUUGAACCUUCUCCCAUGACAGGAGAGGGAGUACCAUUGGUUGUGGAUACUACAGUUUGUUUGGAUGAUUUCAUAGACAAAAUAUGAUCAGUGUCAAAAGUCAUGUGAUCCGUAACACCUGAAUCAAUUAUCCAAGCACUAUUACUAUCAGGUGUAGAGGUAUUAAGAGUCUUACCAAUAUUACCUGAAGUAGCAAUUAAAGAUGAAGAUUCCUCAGGGUUGUUCGAAGAUUUAACCACAGCAGGAGAAGCUUGAUUUUUUGUCUUUGAGUUCCGUUUGGGUGCUUUAGUAGGAUCCCACCAUUCCGGAUACCCAAUCAGUUCAUAACACCUUGACUUGGUAUGUCCAGUUCCACCACAAUACGUGCACAGACGCUCUAAUUUUGACGUUCCAAUUUCAUAGCUACGAUUUUGCGUUUCAGAUGAUUGAUGUUGAUCAAUAAUCUGUUUUGAAGAGCUAGAAUUUAGUUGUUGGUUAUUACGCCCCUGUUUGUUUCGACGAGCUAUCAGGGUAGAUGACUCAUGAUGAUCAAGUUCUUCAUUUACUGUUGUCCUCCGCAUAGCAUCACGCCGCACAUAUGCAUAUGUUUCUUCAAAGUCUAGUGCCGGAUCCUUCCUGAGGAUCUCUCCUCUGAGUUGUUCAAAUUCUGCAUCUAGUCCAUUAAGGAAGAUGUGCACUCUCAAGCGUUCAACUGAUUUUUUAUAUGCAGUGACAUCAUCGGGGUCUUUCAUUAUGACCUUAUCACGAUAAUCUAGCUCUUGAAAAAUCUCUACAAGAUCACCAUAAUAUGUUGAUAAGGGACGUCCAACCUGUUUAGUAGAGAAAGCUCGUUGAUUUAGUGCAAAGAUUUGUGAUUCAUCUGACCCAUCGUAGAAAGCUUUAGCCAAAGCAUUCCAUAUUUCCCUUGCGGUGCGUAAUCUGAGAUAACGUUUCAUGAUUUCAGGUGACAUGGAUGUCAAUAACCAUCCCUUGACUUUUUGAUUUUCUGCAUACCACUUUGUAUAGAAAGCAUCAGUCUCCAAUGGUUGAUCUGUUUCACCUAUAAUAUAUUCAAGUUUUUCACGUCCUGCAAUGUGCAUCUCCAUGAUUUGGGACCACACAUCAUAGUUAGUUUCAGUAAGAGUAACACCAGCUUUGAGGCCUGAGUUUUCAUAUUGAACAUGUAUGAUUGGUGUAGACGAUUCAGAUUUACUUUCGGCCAUGGUACAAAGAACAGAUGAGAAUUCGGAUACGAUAAUAAGAGCAAAGCUCUGAUACCAAGUAGAAAACAAUGGUACAGAGGAAAUAAGAUUCAAAGGAAAUACUCAGCUCAAUUCUUUUAUUCCAACUCGUGGGAGUUAAAUAGUGCAGACUUCUAAUUUAGGAUUACAAAAUAUUCUAGUCUAUCGUGUACAACUAGUAACGUAUACAAAUAGAACUAAAAUAUACAGAGAAGAGGAAUUAUAGGAGAUGGAUUACAAUGAUUUUGUAACAGAUAUAAAACAAUUAUUAUUUAAAUGAUUGUUAUGAACAAACCUCACUGCAGCACCAAGUCCAUAUGGGAUUGCAGAGAGGGUUUGAAUAGUACUGAGACUGCCCAAAGAAGUUGACAAAUAAUGAGCAGUCGGGAAAAAAAAGAAAAAAAGAAAAAAAAAUCUAUUUCCUUUGGUAGGUGCUUCUCUGCAUAGAACUUUCACAUACAAAGUCUAUGUCAACAUACCAUACAGAUAGGACUGAAGUUUCAAGCUGUGGGUUAGGCAACAGCCCUGACAUUAAAAUGAGCAAUUCAAAUGACCACCAUUCUAGGCUGCAAAAUUAUAAACGAAAGAAGAUGCAUGAAAAUUUAUGACGUGUCUACGAUAUCUAUGAGAAGGGAAAAUGAAACUCCAGAAGAUAAUUAACAUACCAAACCAUUACUGCAGAAGGGAUAGCAAAGUGGAAGAACUCUCCAAUUCCUCGGAACAACUCCAUUGAAAUUGGAGCCCUGGAUUCUGCACUAGCAGUGGAGAACUUCAUGUAAAUUGCCAAGAAAGUUACAUUCAACCAAUACGAUAUACCAAUUGCCAAUGCUCCUCCAAGGUUUCCCAGUCCAGACUUGAAUACCAAAGCCCAACAGCUGGGAAUAUGCAAACAAAGAGCGGCAUAGGAGCUUAAGAACAUGGGAAUGAUCAAACUUUGAGACUGAAAAUAUCGAAUAAGCGCUUGCAUUGCUGCAUAAGCAAACAGAGCUGGAAGAAGCCAGAUUAUAAACUUGCCUACUUCGUGUGAAAUCUGGGGGUCUUGGCCUACCAAAACUAGCAGCCUUCCCAUGUAAAUCCCUAGAAAGGAAAGCGGAAAACAUGCUAAGAAUAAACAAAAUAUUGCAGUGUAAAUUUGAGUUCCAAUUCUUUGAUAUUGCUGAGCUCCAUAUGCUUGCCCACAUAAUGUUUCCAGAGCACUCGCCAUUCCUAACUGUUUCAAAGAAACUAUUACACAAUUCAAGUUAGCUGUAGAAUUUUUUUUUUUUUUUAAAAAAGAGCAAAUCAAGUCCUUUAAAAAUUAAUGGCAUUUUUACAAACAGGGUAUUAGUUAAUUGCAUGUUUUUUAACAUCAGAAAUUUGGCAUAUCUAUUUGUUUAAAUCCCACAUGCAAUGAUGCAAAUACCUAUCAAAAGAAAGAAUAAACAAUCUUGUGUAUAUAACUAUAUAUGGAUUGUAGGACUCACAAGGACGCUGAAGCCGGUGACGCUAGCUAGAGAGAUGGCCAUGGCGGUGCUAGAAAGAGCAAGUUGACCAAGAUGACCAACCAUCAUCAUGGAAACAACUUGAAGCAAAUACUGUGAUAAAGUUACAGCCACCAUUGGUGCUGCUAUGUAACCCUGCUUUUUCACUUCUCCACUCAACAAAUCCCAUGUUGUGGAUGUUGAUGAUAAACUCUCUUUUGGUAUUAAUAAACUCUUUUCCAUAUUCUUUUCUGUAUCGUUGUCUCUCAUGGCCACCCCUCUCCCUCUCUUUCUCUUGUGUGUAAAAUUUACAUAGACUUAAGACGGAGAGUUGUUCCCGUCUCGUCAUUUUUCAGGUGUUCGGAUUUAUAUAGAAGAGGUGGAGCCAGGGAACAAAACGUCAUUUAUAUGGAGUUAUUGGGCCUAAAAUGCUAAAAUUGUAGAGUAAAUGAGUCUCACAAGGUUUUCAGGAGAAUAUCAUAAUAUGUCUUCAGUUGGGAUGAUGAUAUGAUACCUCUUCUCGUAUCAAAAACACAGCACCAGCAGGGCUAGCUGGGCACCUAAAACAAACGCCAAACAUAUAAUUAAUCCAUAUCUGACCAGACACAUGGCUGAAGUGAAGCUCCACGGGGGAUGGGCGAGUCCAUUUAGCAACAAGGUGGUUGUUUGGGAAGGAAAUAUGAGACCAAUGAUGAAGCGCCACGUGUCGAUAUUUAAGAGAUUAAUUUGUCUCGGGUACCUCGGGUACUCUAGGUACCCCGGCUACUCUAAGGACUUCGGGGGUACCUCGGGUACACCAUGAAAAGAUAUAAAAAUCUUAGUAAAUAUGUGAAGGGAUAUGUGGGCCCUGAAUCUAAAAAAGAUCGGUUUGAUACGUGUCGAAAAAUAAGGAAAUCUUGUGCCGCAAAAGAGAAGACUGCCGCCUGUCACGCCAGCGAAUCCGCCAAAAGUGUGAUAUUGUGACAGUUGGGACCACCAGCUUUUCCUGCUACACCUACAAAAUUACAACGGAAUUGCAGAGGUACGCGGGACCACUCCACUACGCCCAGCACGUGAAUACGCCACAAACUUGCUCUCCACUGAUAUUUUUGAAACGUCUAAGCCACCUUACGCAUAAAAAUAAGAAUAUUCCUGA
rnacentral:lncRNA from 1 species